rnacentral:piRNA from 1 species
UAAUCCAGUCUCUCAGCCACAAUCCCGG